rnacentral:rRNA from 1 species
ACAUGAACUAAUGCAAACCUCUUCGGAGUUUUGCUGCGAAUGAAUGAAAUUAAAACCAAUGCCGCGGACGCGGCACUAACACAGCRGUGUUSACUCAAUUCAUUCCGUGCGAAAGGUGGUGUACUCCAGCGUCUUUUGACSAACAACUGCCCUAGCAGCUUGUGUUGGCAGUGUAGGG